UACGGAAGGCAGCAGUGGGGAAUAUUGCACAAUGGGCGCAAGCCUGAUGCAGCCAUGCCGCGUGUAUGAAGAAGGCCUUCGGGUUGUAAAGUACUUUCAGUCGUGAGGAAGGUGUUAAGGUUAAUAACCUUAGCAAUUGACGUUAGCGACAGAAGAAGCACCGGCUAACUCCGUGCCAGCAGCCGCGGUAAUACGGAGGGUGCGAGCGUUAAUCGGAAUUACUGGGCGUAAAGGGCACGCAGGCGGUUAAUUAAGUUGGAUGUGAAAUCCCCGGGCUUAACCUGGGAAUGGCAUUCAAGACUGGUUAGCUAGAGUCUUGUAGAGGGGGUAGAAUUCCAUGUGUAGCGGUGAAAUGCGUAGAGAUGUGGAGGAAUCCGGUGGCGAAGGCGGCCCCUGGACAAAGGCUGACGCUCAUGUGCGAAAGCGUGGGGAGCGAAACAGGGAUUAGAUA
rnacentral:rRNA from 1 species